UGGUAUUUUGACCAUGCUAAGGUAUUGAAAUAAGAUUUUAAUUGAGUGCUAAGAGAAUGGAUAAAUGAGGAAUAACUUUUUUAUUAUUAAAUUUAAAACUUUAAUAAAAGUUAAAAAUGACUUUAUAUUUUAGUGGGACGAAAAGACCCUAGAAUCUUUGGGUAUAUUUUAUAUAUUUUUAUAAAAUAUAUGUUUUGUUGGGGCGACAUAGAAAUAUUUAAAAACUUUCUAAAUAAUUAAUUAUAGUAAUUAGUAAAAAAGAUACUCUAGGGAUAACAGCGUUAUUAUUUUGGAUAGUUCUUAUUGAUAAAAUAGUUUGCGACCUCGAUGUUGAAUUAAUGAAUCUGCUAAGUGAAGAAGCUUAGAAAGAGAGAUUGCUCAUCUUUUAAAUCAUUA
rnacentral:rRNA from 1 species